rnacentral:rRNA from 1 species
AGAAUCAACGCUGGCGGCGUGCCUAACACAUGCAAGUCGAACGAGAAAGUGGAGCAAUCCAUGAGUAAAGUGGCGCACGGGUGAGUAACACGUGACUAACCUACCCAUAAGUGGGGGAUAACCUCGGGAAACCGUGGCUAAUACCGCAUAACACCGAGAGGUCAAAGGAGCAAUUCGCUUUUGGAGGGGGUCGCGGCUGAUUAGUUAGUUGGCAGGGUAAUGGCCUACCAAGACGAUGAUCAGUAUCCGGCCUGAGAGGGCGCACGGACACACUGGAACUGAAACACGGUCCAGACUCCUACGGGAGGCAGCAGUGGGAAUUUUGCGCAAUGGGGGAAACCCUGACGCAGCAACGCCGCGUGGAGGAUGAAGUCCCUUGGGACGUAAACUCCUUUCGAUCGGGACGAUAAUGACGGUACCGAGAGAAGAAGCCCCGGCUAACUUCGCGCCAGCAGCCGC